rnacentral:lncRNA from 1 species
UGGGUAAACAGGUUAUGCUAUCUGAAUUCUUCUUUUUUCAAAAUUGUUUUACCUAUUCUAGUUUGGCUGCCUUUCCAGAGAGAUGUUAGAAUAAUCUUGUAUAUGUCUAUAAAAAUAUUGCUGGAGUUUUCACAGGGAUUACCUUGAAGCUGUACGUAAUUUUGUGGAGAAUUAAUAUUUAUAAUAGAUUGAGGCUUCCAGUCCUUGAACACAGUGUACAUCUGUAUUUAUUUAUAUUUUCUUUGACUUCUUUUAUUUUCAUUGCAUAGUUUUCAUCAUACAAUUCCUGUACAUCAUGUUUUGUUAGGUUUAGUCAUAACUAUUUGGGAUAUUUUUGAACAAUUGUGAAUAGUAUUGCAUUUUUAGUGUCCACGUGUUAACUGCUAGUGUGGAGAAAUGCAAUUAAUAUUGUAUGUUUAUACUUUUUCCUGCAACCUUGUUGUACUCACUUAAUAGUCAUAGUAGUCUUUUUUUGUUUAGUAUUUCCUAGGAAUACAUGUAGAUAAUCUAUGUAGAUAAUCCUCUGUGUACAUACAUCUGAAAUUUUUAUUUCUGUUUUCUAUUAGAAUUUUCUAUCCCUAUUUUUACUGGAAUUUUCUAUGUAGACAUAUUUUCAAAAGUCAAAGCAAGAAUUUUAUUGCUUCCCUUAUGAUACAUAUGUGUUUUAUUCUUUUUCCUCAUUUUGCUGCCUGAAAGUUCCAAGACUAAGGAGACAGGAUUUGUGAGAGUGGACACUUUUGCCUCCUUUCUGAUCUGAAGGGGAAAGUGGUUAGUCUUUUAUGCUUCACUACAGAGUUAGCUGGGUUCCAUAGAGCCUUUUUUUCAAUUGAGGAAAUUUCCUUUUUUUUUCUUACUUUUUCUCUGAGAAUAAAUGUGUUGAAUUUCAUUAAAAGCUUUUUUUAAGCAUGAAUUGAUAUGAUCAUAUGGCUUCUUUAGCCUGUUAAUUUAGUGGCUUACACUGAGUAUUGUAAGUAUACUUCCAGUAUUGUAUGGAGUAAACCACACUUGGUCAUGGUAUAUAAUUCUUUUAAUAUAUUACCAAAUUUUAAUUGUUAAAAUCUAAAAUAUUAUGGGUAAUAUUUAAAUGUUUGUAUGCAUAUUUGUGAGAAAUAUUUUCUGUAGUUUUACUUUUUGUUCUUUGUCUGGUUUUGUUAUCAGGGUAACUUUAGGUCAUAAAAUGAAAUAGGAAGAGUUUCUUGCCCUUUUUUGAAGGUUUAAGUUUUUCUUCCAGAGUUUAGCAGAUGUUCUGUGCAUAUCAUUUUACAUGUAGAUGUGUUUGUGGGAGAAGGUGAGUGCAACCUCUUACUCCUCCACCAUCUUGAUCCUUCCUCCCUGGAGUGGAUUUCUUAGGGUUCAACCUGUUUUGGAUUUACUCACCUUUCAAAUUGGUAGAUUUAUGUGUCUUGUCAACUUUGGGAAGUUUUCAGCCAUUAUUGUUUCAGUACUUUUUCAGGCCCAUCCUCUAUUUCUUCUCCUUUUGGGACUUCAACGGCAUGAAUACUAAAUUUUUUUAUAGUCCCACACUGAGGCUCUAUUCUAUCAUUAUUUUAGUCUGUUUUCUCUCUGUUGUUCAGAUUGGGUUAUUUCUAUUAUUCUGUGUUCCAGUUCACUGGAUCUUUCCUCUGCCCCUUCAGUUCUCAUCCACUCUGCUUUUUAUUUGGAUUAUUCUAUUUUCCACUGCUAAAAUUUCUAGUUUAGUCUUCUUUACAUUUCUUUACUGAGACUUUAUAUUUCUUUACUGAAGUUUUCUGUUUUUCAUCUGUCUCAAGUGUUUUUGUAACAGCCAAUUGAAGCAUUUUUCGUGGCUGCUUUAAAAACUUUGUUGGAUAAUUUCAACAUUCCUCUCAUCACAGUGGGGCCAUCAAUUGUCUAUUUUAUUUUAUUUCAUUUUUAUUUUAUUUUAGCCACACCUGUGGCAUAUGGAAUUUUUCAGUCCAGGGGUUGAAUCAGGGGUACAGCUGGGCCUGCAUUACAGCCAUGGCAAGAAUGGAUCCUCACUGCGUCUAUGACCUGCACUGCAGCUCACGGCAACACUGGACCGACCCUUAACCCACCAAGUGAGGCCAGGGUUAAAACAUGCAUCUUCACAAAAACAACAUUGGGUCCUUAAUCCACUAAGCCACAACAGGAACUCCUUGUUUCUUAAAAUUCAGUUUGAUAUCUUCCUGGUUCUUUGUGUAAAGAUUUUUAAUUGAAUCUUCGACAUUUAAAAUUUGUGUUAGGAGGCUCUGGACCUUAUUUAAACCUUCUGUUUUGGCUGGCUUUCUAUGACAAAGUUCUGACUGGGGCUGAGGGACAAGACCUCAUUACUGCACGGUGGAAUGGGUGAUCAGGUUCCCCACUCAGCUUUCAUGGAUACCCAGAAAGUGUGUACUUCUGGGGGUUUGGUGGGAACUGUGGUUGCCAGGUGGUUUACACUGAUGCUGCAGUAGGGUUGGGUUAUCUUGUUUCUGCUGAAUAAUGAUAAAAGUCCUGAGUCUACACUGAGCCAUUUCAGUGGAGGGGGGAGUAGCUUCUUGUUACUGCCAGGUGGGCUGGAAUUCCAGGUGCUCAUGUGCUUUCUUCUAACUCUGUGGGCGUGGCAUGAGGGUGCAUUUCCAGCUGGUGGAGAUGAAACUUCCAGCACCCUUGGCAUUUUAUGACACUGCUUUGAGGGGAGAGUUGGGCUUUCCUCACUGCAGCUUCACAAGUGUGGACAUAUAGGUGGUCUGUGGCUUUUCUGGCAUGGCUGUAGGGGCCCUUUUUUUUUCUCGCAGCAGUUCCAGGAUUCAAGACUUCAGCUCCAAGUCUUGCAUACAAAAGGCAAAAAGGAAACAUGAAGAACUCACUACCAUGUCACUCUUGAGUCCUGAGAUUUUUAGCUGGUUUGCCAUCUCUUUACUUUGCAUAGUCUUCUUAUGUUUUGUUUUUUUUUUGUAUAACAUUCAGGGUUUUUAGUUGUACUUUAUGGGACAACUAUAAGAAAUAUAUCUACUCUAUCUUUCCAGUAGAAGUAGAGAAUAGUUGUUUACAAACAAAAGUAUUCAAACAUUUUUGACCCAAUAACUCCAUUUCCUAAAAUGUAAUGUGAAAAAAAUAAAAUAUAGGCACAAAAUGUUCACAGAGAUAUUCUUAUUUUAAUAAUGGCAAAAAUUAGAAAUGAAUGAGUAUCAAUAGUAAGAUAUUGGUAACAUACAUAUAGUUGAAUAUAAUGUAACUGUAUAAAAUAAUGUUGUAUUUCUAUAUUUCCUCACAUCAUACAGAAAUAUAUUCAAGAUAUAUUACUGAAUGACUGCAAACAAUUAUAAAUAGGAUGGACAAAACAAGCUUUUUUAGUAGAAAACAAUGUGAAAUGUGUGUAUGAGCAUGCAAGCAAUUUUGUAUUUAUUUUUGUAAGGAGAUUCUUCUUUAUCCAGUUCUGCAUCUAUUCUAUAGCUACACCUGAGCAGAAGCUAAACAUGGCUAAAGAAAAAAAUUCAAGUUUUUCUGAGUACUUUUAUGAAGCAUAAUGUAUUCUCACAUCAUGCAGAAGACCAUAUACCUUAUCUGGGCUCCUGGCAUUGCCUGGAAAUCACAUUAUUUACUCUAAUUGUUGUAUCAGUUCAUUUGUUUUUAAGUGAAGAUAUUUAACCAUUUCCUGCUCUUCACUCCCAACAGUUGACUUUGCUUCUUAGUUAAUUGGAACAGUAAACUUUCUUUAGUUCUCAUCAUCAAAUUGACCAAUCUACCCACUAUUGUCUUACUCCUUCUCACAAUGAACUAUUCUCCCUCAGUUAAAUUUUAUCUCAGGAUCCUAUGUUCUUUCAUCUGUUCCAGAUUCUUCAAGAAGUUGCUCAUUUUUCUCAUACCUUAGUCUUCCUCUCUCUGGUGAAGCCAUUCCAUUCUAGAACUGUAUAUCUGUCUCCAAAAUACCCAUUCUGCCCAAAUCCUCAAGAGUUAUCUAUGUCAGUAUUUGUGCCUUCACUUUCCAUUUUCUCUUGAUGCUUUUCCAGUCUCACUUUUAUCCUCAUAGAAACACUCAUAUGUUUGCAGCCAAUGACAAACUGCAAAUGGGCCAGUGCCCUUCAUCCUACUGGACCUUGAGUCAACACCACACACUCUUACUAUAUUUUGCUUUCAGUGUAGUUACACAUACCUAUUUUUCUUCUUCCUGUACUUCUCAUUCCUUUUCAGUGGGUGUUCAUAGAUUCAACAUUUUUCCCCUCAAUUUUGGGAUAGUGGCAUAUCCCAGGGACUACUCCUCAGAACUUCUCUCUGCCUCUAUUCAGUUUCUAGAAGACCCCAUUUGGGCCCUGUCUUUCUUUUGGAUCUGAAGUCCUUGACUAUUAAUGGAUGAAAUGAUCCAGGUAUGUGAGGUUUGUCCCCACCGAGGUACAAGUAAAGCUUAGAGUUAUACAGGUGUGCCUUACCAGUAGUUUGGGACACCUGUGUCUACUGAUGCAAGCAGAAUUAACACAUAUCUGUGUUAAUUCUCUUUGUGAAGACUGUGAUUCUUGCUUCAUCUCCCCAGAGAUACAGGAAUUUAAGACACAUGGGUGCCAAAUCCCUAAACAAACCUUGAUUUGCAAUCAGAAGUUAGGAUUUUUUCAUAAAAAUUCUCUAACUUCUUUUUUCAUUUCAAAUCUUUAAUCAUUGUGAGUCAAACUGAAUUAUUCAUAAUUUUUAAAUGAACAAUGGGCAUAUUUGUUGUAAUUUAAAGCAGCAAUUUAGAUGGAAAGAAUAUACUUAUCUUUAUUCUUCAUUUUAGUAUAUAAGUAUGCUGUUAAUCUCUGCUUAGUAGUGAUGUUUUCCAAUCCAUUUACACAUUUAGCUCAACAUGCAUUCUCUAAUUUUUAUUUUUACUUUUUUUUUUUGUUAGAAAUUUAGCCUUUGGCCAAAAUAAAGGAAGUUAUUACUUUUUAUCAAAAUAGUGCAAGACUGUAGCUCUGGGGUUACAAAGGAGACUCAUCAGAUCUGUAUGUCUUCUGUUCCUACCAUUAUUUUACUUAUCCUGAGAGCCCUUAGGAGACAAAGCUUAUCAUUAAUGGACUUGCUGUUACACUUCUAAUAUGAACAGAAAGUUUGGAUUGUGGUGUUGUACAUGAGAUACGUUAUUUGAAAAAAAAAAAAAGCACAAGUGAAAAGCUCUAUAAAUCCUCUCUUUUGAUACAUUGCCAUAUACAUGACUAAAGUGCAGAGGGGUUACACCUGUGCACCUCUGACCAUUAGUAACAGUACCUCUUGACUCAGCACAAUGGAAAUCCCAACUUCAAUGAGAAAACAGCCUUUUUAAAGCAUCUCUUCAGAAAGAGGCUGAAAAUAUGCUCACACAUUCCAGUUUAUUUGUAGAAAUAAGUCUAAUAUAGUAGACAGCAUCAGACUUCACUGUUUUCACAUAUAUCAGAGUUGGAAGUGGAAAAUGUUAACUACAGAAAUUUAGACAAAUAAUUUUGUAAUGAGUUUGUCAUAAAUGACUUAGCAUAUAUUUAUGUCGUAGUAAAAAUUACCUGGUCCCUAUACAAAAUAAAUUCAAAACUCAAAUUGAUGAUUUAUGAACCUUUUAUAUGAAGAAGGAUAUGACCACAAUGAAAAGUAAUAUAUUAUAACUGUUAAUACUGAUAUUAACUAAAUAAUCCACCUUGAUAAAAAUUUUGCAUGACCUUAGUUGAAGCAAAACUGGCUAAUGAAACAAGAAGUAGUUAAAGAGUAUUUAGCUACUUUAUCUUGUUAUGAUAGAAUCUUCCCACCUUAUUUUGGUACCUGUCAUCUUCAUUAGAAAAAUAACACUUUUUUAUAUAUCAGAGUUUGAAGUCCCAGGUAUCAGCCUCAGACAUAGAUAUACUAAAAGCAUUUUUAAAAAAGAAUGUUUUGUGUCAAUUCAAGCAGAAUUGGGUAGAGAGAAAAAUUGGGCUGCAGUCUAGAAUGACAAUCUCCAAGGGGACCUGGGGCAGGUGACCCUUCAAAGGUGGCCUAUCCUGGUUCUUUUGGAUCCCUGUUAGCCUUUCAUAGUACAUAGCUGCCCAGGGAGGAAUAUAGUCUUGGAAGAGGCAGUAAAUUUCAGCUGAGGCAAUAGCUGAGGACAAUUGGGAAACACAAAAAGAAAAUAUUGCUCUUAAGACCUUCAGCUGAUUGGAUAAGGCCAACAGAUUACAGAAGAUGGUCGUCUGUACUCAGUCUGCUGAUUAUACGCAUUAAUCAUUCACAGCAACAUGGAGACUGCAGUUUGACCAAACAACGGGUUUGUCAACUCUGGUGAGAGAGGCACUACUCAAUCUUUACUCUCUUACUUUGGAAAAUGUGUUCCAGCAUUCCCAUGACCACUGAACACCUAAAUUUUACUCAUGUGGUAGCACCCGAUAUAUGCAUAGGAUGAGUCUCCUACCAUGUGGAAUACAUCUGUCUUACUAUGGCCUAAGCAAGUUUAUAUGAUUUAUUAGCAUGGUGCUAUCAGUUUACUGCAACAACAUGAUAUUCAGUAAGAUGUUCAGGAAAUUCAAGUCUCCCUUGAUGACAUUAUAGAAGUUCGGAUAUUAAAGCCAGCCUUGGAGCAAAAUUCUAAAUGUGCACUGCUAUUUUAUUCAUGUGAUUAUGGACUCCUUCUGAUCCCCUUUUUUGAUUUCAGCCACGUAGUUCGUGUUCACCUUCUCUGGCAAAGACACUGUCUGGUACAGCACCUACUACCUGGCUAACCUGGCUAAGUGUGCAGGAGUCUGCUGCCAUGCUCCAGGUCCUUCUCACAUAUAUUUUUGCAGAUACUAACUGCUAAUUUAAGUGGUGGCAUGACAGGAUCACCCUAUACCCUUCAGGUCUGUAAGAGUGGCACUGGUUUACAGUCUCCAGGGAAAGAAUAUUGCAGUUGAUUUACAUAGUUUGUACCUUUCAAUCCUCCACCCCCAUAUUGCCUCUCCCGCACUGGUAACUACUAGUUGGUUCUCUGUAUCUGUGACUCUGCCUCCUUUUAGUUAUAUUCACCAGUUUGUUGUAUUUUUUAGGUUCCACACCUAAGUAAUACCAUACAGUAUUUGUCUUUGUCUGACUUAUUUCACUUAAUAUAAUCCCUUCAAGUCUGUCCAUGUUGCUAGAAAUGGCAACAUUUUGUUCUUUUAAUGACUGAGUAGUAUUUCAUAGUAUAUACACAUCACAUCCUUUUUAUUCAUUCUUCUUGUGAUGAACACUUUAUUCAUGAUAUAGCUUUUAAGCCACCAGGCAAAGACCCAGCAUGGAAAUGAUGACAUAUUCAAAACAUAUUUAUUCUAUUUAUUCAUUUAGGAACUGAAGAGAGAGUGAUCGGGUGGGUCUGCAGACCAAAUGGGCCUGUGAUUGAUGGAGUUUAGCCAGCACCCUAUCUAUUGCCCUCAAUUUAAAAGGGAAUCAUGAAGAUGUGUUAGGUCACUGAACAUGAAUGCUGACACAGACCAAUGUGUCCGGUAAUGCCCUAAAAUGAUUGCUGGGUAUCCCCUUCUCCCUGAGCCAUUAACUUUUGUCUAUGCAAAUUCUCCCAGUACUUCAAAAGAUUAUUUUAACCCUAUACUGUGCAUGAAUUUUGAAAAUUUGUAAUAUAUCUGAGUCUUAGUUUCACCAUCAAGUAAAUAAAAAUAUUAGAGCAAGAAAAUAUCAAGAUUCUUAAGUCUCUAACUUUUUAAGUAAUAUUUUUAUAGUACCAUGUUGUGUACCUAGAUUAAUGCAGAUCACAUAGAGUGCAUGUGGUAAAUAUAUUAUAUUUUAAGAGCUUAAAUCAUUAGGAGAUGUAUUUAACUAAGUUGUCACCUUGAAAGAUGCAAAUAUUCCUCAAAAUAAUGUAAUAAAUUCUGUGAAUCAUAAUGAUAUAUUAAAUAUUUAAGAUUAAAGAAUUCAUAUAAGACACAAUUUGUCUCAUUACCAAAAAAAAAAAAA